GACGAACCGAGCGAACGUUGUUCGGAAUCACUGGGCUCAAAGGGCGCGUAGGCGGGUGAUCAAGUCCGGGGUGAAAUCCUCCAGCUCAACUGGAGAACUGCCUCGGAUACUGGUUGCCUCGAGGAAGGUAGGGGUGUGUGGAACGUUCAGUGGAGCGGUGAAAUGCAUUGAUAUUGAACGGAACUCCGGUGGCGAAGGCGACACACGGGACCUUUUAUGACGCUGAGGCGCGAAAGCUAGGGGAGCAAACGGG
rnacentral:rRNA from 1 species